AUGCAGUCGAGCGGACAGAUGGGAGCUUGCUCCCUGAUGUUAGCGGCGGACGGGUGAGUAACACGUGGGUAACCUGCCUGUAAGACUGGGAUAACUCCGGGAAACCGGGGCUAAUACCGGAUGGUUGUUUGAACCGCAUGGUUCAAACAUAAAAGGUGGCUUCGGCUACCACUUACAGAUGGACCCGCGGCGCAUUAGCUAGUUGGUGAGGUAACGGCUCACCAAGGCAACGAUGCGUAGCCGACCUGAGAGGGUGAUCGGCCACACUGGGACUGAGACACGGCCCAGACUCCUACGGGAGGCAGCAGUAGGGAAUCUUCCGCAAUGGACGAAAGUCUGACGGAGCAACGCCGCGUGAGUGAUGAAGGUUUUCGGAUCGUAAAGCUCUGUUGUUAGGGAAGAACAAGUACCGUUCGAAUAGGGCGGUACCUUGACGGUACCUAACCAGAAAGCCACGGCUAACUACGUGCCAGCAGCCGCGGUAAUACGUAGGUGGCAAGCGUUGUCCGGAAUUAUUGGGCGUAAAGGGCUCGCAGGCGGUUUCUUAAGUCUGAUGUGAAAGCCCCCGGCUCAACCGGGGAGGGUCAUUGGAAACUGGGGAACUUGAGUGCAGAAGAGGAGAGUGGAAUUCCACGUGUAGCGGUGAAAUGCGUAGAGAUGUGGAGGAACACCAGUGGCGAAGGCGACUCUCUGGUCUGUAACUGACGCUGAGGAGCGAAAGCGUGGGGAGCGAACAGGAUUAGAUACCCUGGUAGUCCACGCCGUAAACGAUGAGUGCUAAGUGUUAGGGGGUUUCCGCCCCUUAGUGCUGCAGCUAACGCAUUAAGCACUCCGCCUGGGGAGUA
rnacentral:rRNA from 1 species